AAAGUUCCCUGAGCAGUUACAAGUUUUCGCUGAUCCGUAGUUAACUCUUUCAGCGAUUCAACGACCAAGCGCCAAACUUUAGGAAUCAGUGGACCCCAUACUCCCACCAGCUGACUCACCGGGCCAAGGCGAGCUUCCAAUUUGACCGUGCACGGCUUUGAUCACAGCACCGGGGUUCAGCGCUGUCUCUAACAGCUGCUUCCUUCGGCUCUCCGUUUGUCUUCUGUCCCGAAGAACUGACGAACUUUGAGUCCCUGUAUUGCAGGCACCAAUUAUUGAUGGAAGGGUAUGGACAGAUUGCUCCAGGAUCAAUAUGAUCAGGCAAAAUGUCGGAUUUAUUAGGAGAAAGACAGAUUAUAUAGUGCUCAUGACGCUCAGCUUCUUGUUCACACAACAUUGGUUACAUAAGGAAAACAUGCUCUGCUGUUCCCUGCUAAUUGGACCACAACAGGUGGUCAUAGGAGAUGAGAAAACUUUA